rnacentral:rRNA from 1 species
GUCGAGGAUCUUCGGCAAUGGGCGAAAGCCUGACCGAGCGACGCCGCGUGGGGGAUGAAGGCCUUCGGGUUGUAAACCCCUGUCAGGUGUUAUGAAAUUCCGUCGGUGAACAACCGGCGGAAUUGACAAAGGCACCAGAGGAAGCCAUGGCUAACUUCGUGCCAGCAGCCGCGGUAAUACGAAGAUGGCAAGCGUUGUUCGAAAUCACUGGGCAUAAAGGGCAUGUAGGCGGCUCGAUCCGUCAGGGGUGAAAUCCCCCGGCUUAACCGGGGAACUGCCUUUGAAACAAUCGGGCUAGAGGACCAGAGGGGAGAGUGGAAUUCCAGGUGGAGCGGUGAAAUGCGUAGAUAUCUGGAAGAACGCCGGUGGCGAAAGCGACUCUCUGGCUGGUUUCUGACGCUGAGGUGCGAAAGCUAGGGGAGCAAACGGGAUUAGAAACCCGUGUAGUCC